AUUGAACGCUGGCGGCAGGCCUAACACAUGCAAGUCGAGCGCGCGGCGGACGGGUGAGUAAUGUAUGGGGACUGCCCGCUAGAGGGGGAUAACUACUGGAAACGGGGGCUAAUAUCGCAUAAUGUCCGUUAGUCCAUAUGGGAUUAGCUAGUAGGUAAGGUAAUGGCUUACAUAGACGACGAUCCCUACCUGGUCUGAGAGGAUGAUCAGCCACACUGGGACUGAGACACGGCCCAGACUCCUACGGAGGCAGCAGUGGGGAAUAUUGCACAAUGGGCGCAAGCCUGAUGCAGCCAUGCCGCGUGUAUGAAGAAGGCCCUAGGGUUGUAAAGUACUUGCAGUCGGGAGGCGUUACCGACAGAAGAAGCACCGGCUAACUCCGUGCCAGCAGCCGCGGUAAUAC
rnacentral:rRNA from 1 species